GGAGAUCCAGCAUUUACAAACAAAGAGAAAGACGAAUGCAAUGGCAAACAAGGAAGAGGGGGGAGAGAAGUCACACGAUGAAAUACAGAAGACCGGCACCGUCUGCCCCGCGAGGUCUGUCCUCGUGUCUUUCGCUUUUGCUCUUCUUUGCCUUUUUUCUUCUGUUCAUGUUCUUCCUCUUCACGAAGGAAGUGGAUCUAAGAGGGGGCUGGA
rnacentral:ribozyme from 11 species